CCUACGGGAGGCUGCAGUGGGGAAUAUUGGACAAUGGGCGAAAGCCUGAUCCAGCCAUGCCGCGUGUGUGAAGAAGGCCUUCGGGUUGUAAAGCACUUUCAGUGGGGAAGAAAGCCUUGGGGCUAAUACCCUCGAGGAAGGACAUCACCCACAGAAGAAGCACCGGCUAACUCCGUGCCAGCAGCCGCGGUAAUACGGAGGGUGCGAGCGUUAAUCGGAAUUACUGGGCGUAAAGCGCGCGUAGGCGGUCUGAUAAGCCGGUUGUGAAAGCCCCGGGCUCAGCCUGGGAACGGCAUCCGGAACUGGCAGGCUAGAGUGCAGGAGAGGAAGGUAGAAUUCCCGGUGUAGCGGUGAAAUGCGUAGAGAUCGGGAGGAAUACCAGUGGCGAAGGCGGCCUUCUGGACUGACACUGACGCUGAGGUGCGAAAGCGUGGGUAGCAAACAGGAUUAGAUACCCGGGUAGUC
rnacentral:rRNA from 1 species